rnacentral:rRNA from 1 species
GACGAACCGUGCGAACGUUAUUCGGAAUCACUGGGCUUAAAGCGCGUGUAGGCGGGAGGGCACGUCCGUCGCUGAAAUCCCCCGGCUCAACCGGGGAACGGGCGCGGAUACGACCUUCCUGGAGGGGCGUAGGGGGACCUGGAACUUCCGGUGGAGCGGUGAAAUGCGUUGAGAUCGGAAGGAACGCCCGUGGCGAAAGCGAGGUCCUGGACGCCUACUGACGCUGAGACACGAAAGCCAGGGGAGCGAACGGG